UGGGAUUACAGGUGUGAGCCACCGUGCCACGUCUAUUGUGAGCUUUUUAAAAUGCAUGUCAGGUCAUGUCAUUUCUCUGCCUCAAACUCUUCAGUGACAACCCAUUUCCCUUUCUAUGUGGCCAAAGGUAUAAUGCGCCUCCCAGUCACGCCCAUUAUUUCUCUGAUCCUGUAAUCUCUACUUCCUUCUCUCUCGCUCUGCUUAGUCACACUGAUCCUUUCUUUGUGCAUCCAUCAUGCCAGGCAUACUUCCACUUCAGGCUCUGUGCAUAGGCUGUUCCCUUUGCCUGAAAUGCUCUUCCUCCACAUACCUGCGUUGCACCCUCCUUUGCCUCCUUCAGCUCUUUGCUCCCAUGCCAGCCACUUUCUCGGUGAGUUCUUCUCUACCCUCUACCUCCAAUUUAUAACAUAACUCCUGGCACUCUUAUCUCCCUUCCUUGUUUUAUUUUCCUUGUGAUUAUCACUAUGUUGCAUACUAUACAUUUUACCUACUCAUUUAGCUUUUUAUUUGUUCUCCACCCUUCUUCCAAUAGAACGUUUUAUUCCAUAAGAGCAUGGGAUUUACAUUUGUUUUGUUUAUGGCUGUAUCCCUGGUGCCUGACCACGAUAGGGGCUCCCUGCAUCCUGUUGAAAGAAUAAAUAGACUUGACAUAUCGGCUCUGGGAGAGGGAGUCUCUGCUCCCUGCUCAGAAUGAGGGCUUGGGGCUGUUCUCUCUCCCACUGUGUGGAGAGCACCUCCCUGAGUGUGUGUUCCCAGGCACAAGGAACGCAGAUGGAGGCAUCAAGUCCUCAAGACACAGCAUGUCCUCCUGGACCUGGCCAGCUCCACCCUGGCUUCCCAAUCCCUCCAGAAACCUCCUCUUUGGCAUAGCUGGUUUGAGUUUGGGUUGAUCACUUUCAACUGAAUGAACCCUGGCCAAAAAAGUCUUGGCCCUUGGGAAUCAUGAGAAUUUAGCCAAGUGACAGGGUCAAGACACUUGGAACAGGAGCCUGGCAUUGAGGCAAGCGUUGGUAUACAUUCUGUGGAGUUCUUUCACCCCAGACAGGCAGGGUAGAGUAUUCUGGCUAUGAAAGAACACUUCUGAGAGCAGAAACUAAACUUCUUCUGCUCUGCCCUAUGCAAAUCUACUAAAGACAGACCUUCUCUGUCUGUUACUCAGGGCCAUACAGGAAAGAAAAUGCAGGCUGGUAGUUCUCACCUGAUUCCAGCCCCUUAAGCCUUCCAAGACCACUGCAAGUGACACAGGGAGGAGGUGCCCUAGGCACAUGAAAGACCUUGACCAUGAUGUCUGAAAACCUAAGCCAGGAUCUUGGCUCUGCUAUCCCAGCUGCAUGGCCUUGAGCACGUCUCUGCAUCUCCUUGGCCUCAAUUUUUCUCAUCUGUAAGGUGAGAGGGAUGAAAUAAAUUACUCUCAAAGUUCUUUUCCACAUAACAUUCAAUGGAAGCAGUAGAGCAUUAUGGUUAAAUACGUAGACUCUGGGGCCAGGCUGCCCAAGUUCAGUUCUAUUGCUUACUGCAAGCUUAACUUCUGAGCCUCAGUUUCCUCAUAUUAAAAUGGAAUACAAAAUGAUACCUACCUCAUGGGGUGGUUAUAAGAAUUAAAUGAAUAGAACACAUAGAGGGCACAGAAGUAAGCUAGGCAUAUACUAAGUCCUCAAAAAUAUUAGCUACUAUUAUUAUUUACCAUUAUUGAAAGAAUUUACCCUGGAUCCUGGAAUGAUUUCUGCUUCAUCUGUAAAGGUGACCCCUUCCAAAGGCAGAGCCCUUUUCCCAGGGGUUGCAGCUCCCCCAUCUUUGCAUGAGCACUGACCAUUCUCUCCCUCUCCUGUAGUGUCUGGAGGCAGCAGAGUGCCCUGAGGGCCAGGAGUCAGCUUCCCCACCUCCGGGCUGAAGGCUGGGGCUGGCUUCACUCACUUAAUUUGGAGAAUUUCCAUAGCCCUUUUAGCAUAUUUUGCUUGGGCUAGCUUAUUUUCGCCAACCAUACAUCUUAUCACUGUCAUAAAUUUUUAUUCCUAUGGACAUGUCUAAACUUAUGGGUUGAAAUAACGUAAUUUACAUGCUGUUUAGUAUGCAGAUUGGGUUAAUCUGCUUCUGCAGAUUCACCACCAGGCCUGUGUAGCCUCUCUCUCCCUCCAGGACCUCAGCCUGAUUUGAAUAUUGCAUUCUGUUUUGUGUGGGGCGGUGAAAGAUGUGUGGAUCACAAGCCUCCCCUAGACAGCUCCAGCACCCCACUCCCUGCGCCUGCGGUCCACCCUGCACACAGCUCCCCCAGGCAGAGGCCUCCUUCCCACUGCAUGUCACUCCCACAGACUCCCCAUCUCAAGGCUAAAAAGCCAUCAGCAACCAGAUCCAAAUGUUAAUGUCAUUGAGAAACACCUUGACUGACACACCCAGAAUAAUGUUUGAGCAAACAUCCGGGCUCUCCAUGGCUCAGUCAAACUGGCACAUCAUACUCUGAGUGAGAUUGGAAGACACUGAGGCUGAGUGACUUGGGCAAUGAUUCAGCAAUACCAACUGUGAACUCUCAAUGACUUGGGCUAAUGAGAAGAAUGACAUGGAUAAUCUAAAAAUAAUGGACAACUGGAAAAAACAUCAGCCUGCUUGUGGAGCACACCAGGUCAUGAUUUCUGCAGUGGGGGAGGAGCUGAUUUGCUUCAUUCAUUCUAGAACCUCUAUUCUAGCUGAUGUUAAAUCUGGUUGUUUUUGAGAGCACUCAUAGCCAUCAUGCCCAUCUCUGUAUCACAGGGGUUUGGGAAAAGAAACUCUUCUGGCCAAGGAUGGAAGAAUAAAAACAUAACUGAGUUCCAGAUAUGCUAAUGUUUUCCACUAUUGCAUCUCUAAGAUAUCAGUAGGACCUGGAAAGGUGGCAAUGACCUCAUGGCUCCCAGGUGCUGGGGUUGCUGCAAUGGCUGGAGCUGAGAAAAACUUGAAGGUUUUAGAGAAGCUCUGCUUCCAAAUGAAGGGUGCAGAGUAAUUAAUGCCCCAAGCUACAUGGAGUGGCCAAUUGAAGAAGCUAUAAAAGUUGGAGCAGUGCAGGAAGCAACAUGCCUGGGAAAGGGGAUUUUUUUGCACUUUUUAUUGCAAUAAUGCAGGAACAUUCUAUGAAUAGAAUCCAGGGGAGCCAUCAAGUCCAUGUUCGGGUGACUGUAAGGGGAGGGAUUUUGAUCCUCUUCCGAGACAGCUGUCUUCAGGCUCAGGCACAGAUCACAUUAUUUUAUUAGAGCCUUCAGUAGUUAAGAGAAAGUUCUUGGUUGAAUUGGGAAAGGGACCUAAAAAUAACUGUAAAAUUUUGAGCUAGCUCUGCCCCUUUCUGUACUAGAUACAAUCCUGGAUGUAGAGAAUCAGAGACUUGAGGUUAAGACCUAGCUCUGGCACCAACUUGGACAAGUCACAUCACCUAUCUCCACCUAUCUCCUUCACUGUGAAAUGAGAGGAUUGGAAUAAAUGAUAUCUAAAUCUCCCCUGGCCUCCAUUGUUUCUGCUUUGUGGAUGCCGUUUUAUGGAUUGAGAAAUCAAAGUCUAUUGAUGAAAAUGAUUGCAAUGUGCAGAUUCACUUGGAACACAGAAAGACUCAGAGAGCUGGUCAGUACCAAAGGAGGUUGGAGUGCUUUGCCUUGAAUGCAAGAAAUAACGAUGUGCAAUGUCAUGGAGAAUUUUAAAACAAUAAUAGAUACAAGAAAAAGUCGGUCUGCUUUUUAUUAUCACCAUGCACUGACAGUUCUAAGCAAUGUCAGUGAUAAAAUAUUCCUCACCUUGAUGGACAACUCUCCCCAUCCUCCAUCCUUGGUAUACCACUGUUUAUCUGUACAAUUCUCUUUUUAUUCAAUGCUCUUUCAAUUCCUCUCACUACACAGGAAGAAAAUCUCUUUAAGGAGCUCUUUUUUUUUUUUUAACAUUUUUCUUUCUCUCUCUUUCUUUCUUUUUCUUUCUUUCUUUUUUUUUAACCACUUCUUAGCAUUGAUUUAUCCCUAGUAAAGAAGAAUGAUGAAUUACUUUGAGUUACUUCUUUAGUAAGAAAGGUAUGCUAUAGGAGAGAACUGGAAAGGGACCAAGGAAGCAGGGACAAUAAACAUGGAGAGACCAGAAUAUGGAAUGAGGUGUGGAAUGGGUACAGAAGGCUGGGUGGCUUGUGGGUCAAGUCCUGAACACAUGGCUUGUGGACAGGGUGUGGACAGCUCCCUGAAGGCCCAGGUUAGGUUGGGCAUGUGGUGCAUGAAAACAGACCCUGCCUGCCUCUCAGCUCAGAUUUCUCAGAUUUCCAGCACCCCGGCCCUUUCCUGGGGCUUCCCCUUGCCUCCCCUCAGGUGGAUUUCCUAAGAGUGAACCCUCUGUACUACACCUGCAGUCACACCACUCGCCAUCCUUCUCUGAGUUGGAUUUCCUCUCCACCCUGCCCUGGUGUCUAGAAUAUGAAAAGGCUUUGCCACCCUGGGGACUUGCAUAUCCUGCAUUGGUGCCUCCCUUUUGCAGGCCUGGCCCCCUUGGUGUUCAACCUUCUGCGAGCUAGCACCUGCUGCAGGGUGCAUUUGCGUGCUCCAAGGAGCCAUUCCUGUGACAAAAUAAUCUAUGCACAUUCUUUGGGGGCUGAAUGGGCUGCUCUGGAGAACAACAGAGGGGACCCCCAGAAAAAUAUGAGUGUGGUGGAGGAAGAGGCUGAAGGCAGGGUGUUAACCCUAAAGAUAGAGAUCUUUGUCCUCUCAAAUUAAAUAAGAAGUUUUGGGUUUUUGUUUGUUUGUUUGCAAAGUGAGAACCCAGUUAGUAGCAAUUAAAUUGACAACCCAAUUCAAACCAGUCCAAACUGAAGCCAUGAGGGCCAAGUUCUAGUUUCUUACAGAUUUACAAUUUGCUAAAUUUUCUCUUUGACACACACAUCAGACACAUAUUCCCUCUGGCACAUUCAGUUUCUAAUUGUUAUCCUAAGAUGAUUUAUUUAUUCUUACAGGAAGAGAAAAGAAAGGGGCAGCUUUUACCGAAGUUUGUCUUAUUUCUUUCACUCUUUCUUUUCUGAUUAUAAAAGCCACACAUGUUUACCAUAGAAAGCUUAGCACAUGAAUAUUCUAAACAGAGAUAAAUACUUCCUAUCAACCCCAUCAUUCAGAGAUGACCACUCUCCAUUUGCAGCUGUGGUUGACAUGGAAUCGUCUGGGGAGUUUUAUUGGCAAGAACUUGCUCUAUUCAGCUGAGCUUUUCCUUAAGAAGACCCCUGAGGUACCAGCCCUCUCUGAGCCUAGUGGAGGGGGACUUUCUGUUCAUGCUGAGGCCCCUUCCCAGCCUGACAGAAGCUUCUAGCUCUUCCUUAGUCAGUUCCCUGCAGGUCUGGGAACCUUGUGCUAGUUCUGUUCUCUGGCCUCUGUGCUGUCACCUGUGAAGCUGUGUCCUUUGAUUUCCUCUUGCAAUCCUCUUGUUGCUCACAGCUGGCAACCUUCAUAGUCAUUCACACUCACACACAGCAUUUCUUCAUUUAUUCACAUUAAGUCAUUUCACACUCAUUUUAAUAGUUAUUAUUCACAGUACUGUUAGUUUAUAGCACCGCACAACAUUAUAAUGUUGUAGUGAACAGUCGUCAUUUCUUUGUGCUGCUCAGCCAGCUACGCACCAUUCUGGGUUUGGGACCUCCCCACCCACCUGCCUGCUGGGUGUGCAGGCUGCUCUUCUUUCACGAUGGAAACCAAAGGGGGGAGUUCCUCUCUCCCAGCCCAAAGGCCAUGCAGGAGCCAGCCUGUGAUCUUGGUUCAGCCAAACAGGCAGUACCAUCUCACACUUUGACUCUUAAGAGAACUUUGCUAAGAAUCUGGAACAGGUCAGACUUUCCUUAUGGUGGCGGCAGAGCCUUUGAGAUUUGGCAGUCAGCCCUGUUGGUUUUGAGCACCCCUAGGCUGUGGUGGCCUAGGGCAGCACAGACACUGCCCUACCCAUAUGGGUCCUGAGGCCCUGGCUAGUCCCCACUGGCCAUCCUGGGUUUCCAUCGUGUUUCUGGGCCUUGUUCUCCAGCUUUCUGUUGAUUCUGUGAGUUAUCUGAUAUUCUUCAAAAAUAUUCCUUUUCAUUUAAUGCUAGCCAGAACUGCUUAAAGAACCCUAUACUGUUUGACUUUUGUCUUAAAGUUUGAAACGUUACUUAGUAAGUCACAACAUACUAAUUUGAAUUUCAUUUGUAACAUAACUUCUCUUUCCCUAGGCCACAUAAGUCAGGGAGAUGGAGAGAGAAACAGAGGGGACAAAAAUAUAGUCACAACAGUAUUUACCUGGCUUCAUUUCACCCUUAGCUGCAAUUGUCCGGAACUCAGGUCCUGCCUCCUAAGAUCCUCCACAAUAGCAUUUCUGCGCUUCUCACUGCCUUGUAGCCCUGUAGCCUUCUGCUUGUCUAUCUCAGAGACUGCUGGUAGUGCUGCUUUUGUAAGGGUUUUCUUCUUCCAUGGCCCAUUUGUCUGUGGGCUAUCUGGCUUGCUUGAGUCAUAUCCACUAAUCAACUAUUAAGGCUGAUUCUUCUCUUUGGAAGACCCAGAGAUUUCAGCUAUGAUUCUGGGCUACACUUUGAGCCUCAGAAAUGACCAUGUGUUUAGUGGUGACCUCACGGGCAAAUGCCGCAAUACUUUUCUGGUGCCUGUCUGCCUAAGUCUUUUCUUCUCUGUCACUCCAGUUCUGCUUGUCCCCAGGGAUAUGAUUUUCAAGUCUCAUGAUCUUAUGUCAAGUCACAUCCAAUAUGAUCUGACGGGUUGGGGAGCAGGGCAGGGUCGGAUGAUCUGGAAUGACUGCCUCCUGUGCUGGAAUAAGCGAUAAGCAGACAGGCCCCUCCGCAAGUGCUGGGAGGAACGCCAGUGCCGCAGGUAGAACACAGCAUGAAAGGGGUAUGUGGAGGACGACAGGCCCGGAGAAAUCCUGUCUCAGGCCAGAGUGGAAGGCCAGAAUGUGGACUUUUCCAAGCAAGCAGGUUUUGCAACAUCUCUAGGAACCUAGGAGCCAGCAGUGAACAGGAGUCUAGGUAGGCAGAUGGGAAGCAGCGUCCUAGACACUCAGCUAGGGUUUGGGACCAAGAAUGCAGAAAUGAAUAGCUCCGGGUUGGGGGUGGGAGGUGUGGCACAGAACUAGGACACAUCUGUAGAAAAGUAUUUUUCUCGAACCAUAUCUGUAUUUUAGGUAUUCCAAGUCUAAAUAUUCCAUGGUUAAAAAAGUUUGGAAAUUAUGGAAUUUUAAGUUCUUCUCUUGGAGAUUCAUGAUUCACAAGACUAUACAAGACGCUGAAUCCUAUGAUUACAAACAAAAAAACAAAACCAAACCUGUUUAGUAGGUAAACAGGGUUAUGUAGGCAGAAGACAUUUUCUUUUUUUAAAUUACUUUUUUCAAAUUCAUGAGCAUUUGAAGUGGCAGCCAGCUGAGUCACAAAAUUGCUUUUAAAAAAUUAUGAUUAUUUUGUAAUUAUAAAACUGCAUAUAUAAUACAUAUAAGUGGUUUCAAAAAUAUUAGAGAAACAAUACGUUAAGAAAUAGAUUAUUACCAGUCCCUAUGAAGUUCCCCUGUGUGUCCCUCCUCAUUCAAAUUUCUCUCCUCUCUCUAAAGGUAACUCCAACUUGAAUUUUACCACUUUUCUAUGUAUCCCCAAACAAUAUUGUUUAACUUCACCUUUUUCAAAUAUUAUACCAUUUGAAAUCAUUGUUUGCAACCUUCUGUGAAUUGCAUUUUUUCAUUAAAGAUAUUGAUAAAAUCAA
rnacentral:lncRNA from 1 species